rnacentral:rRNA from 1 species
AGAGUUUGAUCCUGGCUCAGGACGAACGCUGGCGGCGCGCCUAACACAUGCAAGUCGAACGAAGUCAAGAGGAGCUUGCUCUUUUUGACUUAGUGGCGAACGGGUGAGUAACGCGUGAGGAACCUGCCUCAAAGAGGGGGACAACAGUUGGAAACGACUGCUAAUACCGCAUAAGCCCACAGCUCCGCAUGGAGCAGAGGGAAAAGGAGCAAUCCGCUUUGAGAUGGCCUCGCGUCCGAUUAGCUAGUUGGUGAGGUAACGGCCCACCAAGGCGACGAUCGGUAGCCGGACUGAGAGGUUGAACGGCCACAUUGGGACUGAGACACGGCCCAGACUCCUACGGGAGGCAGCAGUGGGGAAUAUUGCACAAUGGGGGAAACCCUGAUGCAGCGACGCCGCGUGGAGGAAGAAGGUCUUCGGAUUGUAAACUCCUGUUGUUGGGGAAGAUAAUGACGGUACCCAACAAGGAAGUGACGGCUAACUACGUGCCAGCAGCCGCGGUAAAACGUAGGUCACAAGCGUUGUCCGGAAUUACUGGGUGUAAAGGGAGCGCAGGCGGGAAGACAAGUUGGAAGUGAAAUCUAUGGGCUCAACCCAUAAACUGCUUUCAAAACUGUUUUUCUUGAGUAGUGCAGAGGUAGGCGGAAUUCCCGGUGUAGCGGUGGAAUGCGUAGAUAUCGGGAGGAACACCAGUGGCGAAGGCGGCCUACUGGGCACCAACUGACGCUGAGGCUCGAAAGUGUGGGUAGCAAACAGGAUUAGAUACCCUGGUAGUCCACACUGUAAACGAUGAUUACUAGGUGUUGGGGGAUUGACCCCCUCAGUGCCGCAGUUAACACAAUAAGUAAUCCACCUGGGGAGUACGACCGCAAGGUUGAAACUCAAAGGAAUUGACGGGGGCCCGCACAAGCAGUGGAGUAUGUGGUUUAAUUCGACGCAACGCGAAGAACCUUACCAAGUCUUGACAUCCUGCGACGAUGCUAGAAAUAGUAUUUUCCUUCGGGACGCAGAGACAGGUGGUGCAUGGUUGUCGUCAGCUCGUGUCGUGAGAUGUUGGGUUAAGU